rnacentral:rRNA from 1 species
GGCAAGACGGAAAGACCCCGUGAACCUUUACUAUAGCUUGACACUGAACAUUGAGCCUUGAUGUGUAGGAUAGGUGGGAGGCUUUGAAGUGUGGACGCCAGUCUGCAUGGAGCCGGCCUUGAAAUACCACCCUUUAAUGUUUGAUGUUCUAACGUGGACCCGUGAUCCGGGUUGCGGACAGUGUCUGGUGGGUAGUUUGACUGGGGCGGUCUCCUCCUAAAGAGUAACGGAGGAGCACGAAGGUUGGCUAAUCCUGGUCGGACAUCAGGAGGUUAGUGCAAUGGCAUAAGCCAGCUUGACUGCGAGCGUGACGGCGCGAGCAGGUGCGAAAGCAGGUCAUAGUGAUCCGGUGGUUCUGAAUGGAAGGGCCAUCGCUCAACGGAUAAAAGGUACUCCGGGGAUAACAGGCUGAUACCGCCCAAGAGUUCAUAUCGACGGCGGUGUUUGGCACCUCGAUGUCGGCUCAUCACAUCCUGGGGCUGAAGUAGGUCCCAAGGGUAUGGCUGUUCGCCAUUUAAAGUGGUACGCGAGCUGGGUUUAGAACGUCGUGAGACAGUUCGGUCCCUAUCUGCCGUGGGCGCUGGAGAACUGAGGGGGGCUGCUCCUAGUACGAGAGGACCGGAGUGGACGCAUCACUGGUGUUCGGGUUGUCAUGCCAAUGGCACUGCCCGGUAGCUAAAUGCGGAAGAGAUAAGUGCUGAAAGCAUCUAAGCACGAAACUUGCCCCGAGAUGAGUUCUCCCUGACCCUUUAAGGGUCCUGAAGGAACGUUGAAGACGACGACGUUGAUAGGCCGGGUGUGUAAGCGCAGCGAUGCGUUGAGCUAACCGGUACUAAUGAACCGUGAGGCUUAACCUU